GACGUAGGUGGCGAGCGUUAUCCGGAUUUACUGGGCGUAAAGCGCGUGCAGGCGGUUCGAUAAGUCGGGCGUGAAAUCUCCUGGCUCAACUGGGAGGGGCCGUCCGAUACUAUCGGACUUGAGGGCAGUAGAGGGAGGUGGAAUUCCGGGUGUAGUGGUGAAAUGCGUAGAUAUCCGGAGGAACACCGGUGGCGAAAGCGGCCUCCUGGGCUGCCCCUGACGCUCAGACGCGAAAGCUAGGGGAGCGAACGGG
rnacentral:rRNA from 1 species